rnacentral:rRNA from 1 species
UACGAAGGGGGCUAGCGUUGCUCGGAAUCACUGGGCGUAAAGCGCACGUAGGCGGCUUGCUAAGUCAGGGGUGAAAUCCUGGAGCUCAACUCCAGAACUGCCUUUGAUACUGGCGACCUUGAGUCCGGGAGAGGUGAGUGGAACUGCGAGUGUAGAGGUGAAAUUCGUAGAUAUUCGCAAGAACACCAGUGGCGAAGGCGGCUCACUGGUCCGGUACUGACGCUGAGGUGCGAAAGCGUGGGGAGCAAACAGG